AGUGGUAUAGCUCAGUGGUAGAGCAUAGCUUAGCACGCACGAGUUCCUGGGUUCAAUCCCCAGUACCUCCA
rnacentral:tRNA from 1 species